rnacentral:rRNA from 1 species
UACAGAGGGGGGCAAGCGUUGUUCGGAAUUACUGGGCGUAAAGGGCGCGUAGGCGGCCUUCUAAGUCGAACGUGAAAUCCCUGGGCUCAACCCAGGAACUGCGUCCGAUACCGGAAGGCUUGAAUCCGGGAGAGGGAUGCGGAAUUCCAGGUGUAGCGGUGAAAUGCGUAGAUAUCUGGAGGAACACCGGUGGCGAAGGCGGCAUCCUGGACCGGUAUUGACGCUGAGGCGCGAAAGCCAGGGGAGCAAACGGG